CUUGUAAAUUUUGUUCAAACUGACUUGUUUUGGAAUACAAUGUUAUUCCAAAACAAGUCAGAUUGAACAAAAAUAAAAACUGUCCAGA
rnacentral:pre_miRNA from 1 species